GAUGAACGCUGGCGGCGUGCUUAACGCAUGCAAGUCGAACGAUGAAGCCCAGCUUGCUGGGUGGAUUAGUGGCGAACGGGUGAGUAACACGUGAGUAACCUGCCCUUAACUCUGGGAUAAGCCUGGGAAACUGGGUCUAAUACCGGAUAGGAGCGCCGACCGCAUGGUGGGUGUUGGAAAGAUUUAUCGGUUUUGGAUGGACUCGCGGCCUAUCAGCUUGUUGGUGAGGUAAUGGCUCACCAAGGCGACGACGGGUAGCCGGCCUGAGAGGGUGACCGGCCACACUGGGACUGAGACACGGCCCAGACUCCUACGGGAGGCAGCAGUGGGGAAUAUUGCACAAUGGGCGCAAGCCUGAUGCAGCGACGCCGCGUGAGGGAUGACGGCCUUCGGGUUGUAAACCUCUUUCAGUAGGGAAGAAGCGAAAGUGACGGUACCUGCAGAAGAAGCACCGGCUAACUACGUG
rnacentral:rRNA from 1 species